GGAAAGCAAGGAACAACUCUGGCAUCUACUAUAAUAUGCUACCAAAGUGUAGUGACAAUAGACUAAACCAUUUAUGACUUCUUUGGGAGACACUCUGCCCUGUGUCUUGUUCCGUGGAAAGAGUGACUCCACCAGAAAUCUUAACUGCUAUAGCCUAUAAUCACUACACUUACGCAGCAUAUUGUAGGAGCUAGAGUUUAUCAGUAGUUCUAAGUGACCAAUGCUAUUCCUUGCUUUUAUAUAUUCUGAUGAAAACUCCUCAUAUUCUAAUAGCCUACCAGUGCACAUAAGAAGAAUGAGGAUACUCGGAAUGUAAGGAACAACUGUGGCAUCUACUAUAAUAUGCUACCAAAGUGUAAUGACAAUAGACUAAACCAUUUAUGAUUUAUUGAGGACACACUCUUUGCGAUCGUCAUUUGUCAAGCAUGCGUCGCGCCUUCUCCACGGGGCCUUAUCGCAUCAUCCCUUGCCUUUGCUGCCUCGCCGGUGCACUUGUCGAACGGUUCUUAGCAGCAAUAUAGUGUUUCCCGUGAGAGAGUUCGCCCGCCGUGUGCAACCAACCCCUCCACACACCGACCCUCAGAGAAAAAAAAAAGGACAUAAGAAAACCGACUCGCCUUUGGACCUCGAGGCUUACGAUUGGCGGAGGGGCCGUCGAGUCAUUCAGGUGGUGGACGCUCAUUGGUGGAACGUCCGAUUCAAAGUUUGUAUACGCCUGUGAUUGGCUGGGAGUCCGCUGCGAUAGGCCGGGGAGGGGGUCGAGGAUAUAAAAGGGAGAGAUAAGAGCGUAGGGCCACAGUGCCUGUAUCGUAUACGUGCGUGGUGGAGUCCCGUCGCCCAGUCAGUCACGCAGAGCCAGCCAACCAGUCACUCUGUCCACAUCCUCCUCGCCUUCUCCAGCUAGUCAAACCCGAAGACUCAAUCCCCUAGAGUUCUUUUGCGUCACUCCCUUGUUUGUACUACAGCGUGUGAACAAGCAAUGGAGGGUGUUUGUACUUGAGAAAUUGUUAUAUUAUGGCGUAACUAUUAUUUAUAUAUAUAUAUAUCUUGAGAUGGCGGUGGAGAGGGUGGAGGUGCUGGUGAAGAGAGAGAGAGAGAGAGAGAGAGAGAGGAGGAAGAACUGGGCGGAGAAGCGUGGAAAGAGAAACGGGAAAGUAAAAGGAAAACAAGAACAAGAACGAGAGGGAAUCAUAACGCAAACAAGAGGAAAACGAGGACGAGAGAUAAAGAGAAUCGAACCCCGAAGGAUCGAAUCGACCUAAGUCCAGAUCCUCCCUUCUUCGGCAUCCCCCGCGUCUCCUCUUCGCCGCCGCCCGCCACGCCAUCUGUCGGGGCGCAGGGAGUUGGAAGUGUGGAUCUCCGGCAGUCCCUUGCGAUGCCCUUCCUGCCAGAUCUAACUCUUCCAGCUCACUGCUCCCCGACACCCCCACGAUUGCGCCACGACUUCGCUACGACCUCGCCCCGACUUCGUUACGACCAUAGUACAUACAUACAUACAUACACACGCAGUUAAAGACUUUCUUAUGUGUUUUUUUUUCCCAUUUACUCAAUAUUAACACUUUUCUUGUCGUUGUUGUUAUUUUUGUUUUCUUAUUUUCUUUGAUCUGGUUUUGUCUUUCCAGUUUGUCUUUUUCAUCUCUCUCUCUCUCUCUCUCUCUCUCUCUCUCUCUCUCUCUCUCUCUCUCUCUCUCUCUCUCUCUCUCUCUCUCUCUCUCUCUCUCUCUCUCUCUCUCAAUACAAGUAUAUAUUUUGGGUCACAAACUCAUAUUUAUAGAUUACUUAUUUAUUUGCACAUUGCAUCAGAAUAUAAAUGUAGAGCAUGUUUGAUGUUUGAUGAGCUGUUUUAUUUAUUUUGUUCUCUAUAGGCUGAACUGGUGAUCAUUGUUGACAUUCAUUGAAGCAUAAUUUGACUUUGAAUUUGUACUAGCAUUGUUGAAUCUCUGUACUUGCUUCAUAUAGUUUCUGCUGUCCACCUGUUCUUCCGUUCUUUUCUUCAUCAUUCAUUACUGUCUUUUAUUUAGGUGUAGAAGUUAUGAUCGGACACUGUUUUGACUCCUGGCGUAUUGAGAUCUGUUUACGUCACUGUUCAGACUCUCAUUUGACCACACAAUACACUACCCUUCAAAAUGGAAAUGAGCUAUGAAUACUAAGAAUACGAACUUGUCAUUACUCUCUUCAUGUGUUAUUUAGACUGACAACAUGGCAGAAUAAACGUAACUGUAUAAUAAUAAUAAUGGUAAUGUUUGUAUGGGAUCAGGAGGAAUGGGAGAUCAGGAUAAGGAAAGGGUAGGAGAGGAGGAGGAGGAGGAGGAGGAGGAAGGAAGGGAAGUGCAUGCAAGGGGGGAGCUUUGGGCUAAGUGGAGAAGUGGUCUCCUCACUUCGUACUUUAUAAUAGUGAGAUUCAACUCCUCCAACUUAGCUCCUCCUGCCCAACAGUCACCACCACCAGCACCACCACCUUUAGUAACCAGUAUUAGUAGUAUUAGUUGUAUUAGUAGUGGUAUCAAUGGUGUUAGUAUUAGCAGGCUUUUUUUUCAGCUGGCUUUUUUUUCAUUAUUGUUUAAUAUUGGUAUCAUUAGUAUUAGUGGGCUUUUCUUUUCCCUUUCAUUAUUGUUUCCUUUUUUUGCCCUUGACCUGUUUCCUCUACUGUAAAAAAAAAAAAUAAUAAUAAAAAAAUAAAUCAAUUACAAGGGCAUAUGUUUGUUGUGUAUCAUCACUCUUAUUAUUAUUAUUAUUAUUAUUAUUAUUAUUAUUAUUAUUAUUACUAUUAUUAUUUCCAUGCAUGUUUUUCUGUGCAAUAAAUGAGUGUCCUUCA